rnacentral:ncRNA from 2 species
GACUUCCUUCGGGGCGGGGUGAAAUUCCCUACCGGCGGUGAUGGCGUGAGCCUCAGCCCGCGAAGCCCGCGCAGACUGCACCACGCGCAGGCCCGAUCCAGUGAAACUCUGGAGCCGACGGUGUUAUGGCGCGCAGAGACGCUUUCGGCGUUCUGUCUGGCCCAUUCAGUCCGGAUGAGAGAAGGAGGAA